ACGGGAGGCAGCAGUGGGGAAUAUUGGACAAUGGGGGAAGCCUUGAUCCAGCGACGCCGCGUGAGUGAAGAAGUAUUUCGGUAUGUAAAGCUCUAUCAGCAGGGAAGAUAAUGACGGUACCUGACUAAGAAGCCCCGGCUAACUACGUGCCAGCAGCCGCGGUAAUACGUAGGGGGCAAGCGUUAUCCGGAUUUACUGGGUGUAAAGGGAGCGUAGACGGAAGGCCAAGUCUGAUGUGAAAACCCGGGGCUCAACCCCGGGACUGCAUUGGAAACUGGUCAUCUAGAGUGCAGGAGGGGUAAGUGGAAUUCCUAGUGUAGCGGUGAAAUGCGUAGAUAUUAGGAGGAACACCAGUGGCGAAGGCGGCUUACUGGACUGUAACUGACGUUGAGGCUCGAAAGCGUGGGGAGCAAACAGGAUUAGAUACCCUGGUA
rnacentral:rRNA from 1 species